AUUGAACGCUGGCGGCAGGCCUAACACAUGCAAGUCGAGCGAGCGGCGGACGGGUGAGUAAUGUAUGGGGACUGCCCGCUAGAGGGGGAUAACUACUGGAAACGGUGGCUAAUACCGCAUACUAUCGGAUAACCCAUAUGGGAUUAGCUAGUAGGUGGGGUAAAGGCUCACCUAGGCGACGAUCGCUAGCUGGUCUGAGAGGAUGAUCAGCCACACUGGGGCUGAGACACGGCCCAGACUCCUACGGAGGCAGAAGAGGGGAAUAUUGCAGAAUGGGGGCAAUCCUGAUGCAGCCAUGCGGCGUGUAUGUAGAAGGCCUUAGGUGUGUAAAGUACUUGCAGCGGGGAUGCGUUACCCGCAGAAGAAGCACCGGCUAACUCCGUGCCAGCAGCCGCGGUAAUUC
rnacentral:rRNA from 1 species